UAUUCACCCAAGUCAAAAGGCAAGUGACAUUUUCUGUUGAACUCUGCUCAACCAGAAACCCAAUUCAAGUAUUCUAUAAAAAAAAAAAAAAAAAAAAAAAAAAAAAAAAAGUCUGUGGUUCUAAUAACAGUGUAAUAUUUAGUCUUAAAGUUUUCCUAUAAAAUUUCUCUGAAAUCACUCAAAUACUGGAAAACUUCUCAAAGACAAUCUAAAUGAAUGGUUUCCUUUUUUCAGAAAACAUAUUGGAGGCAAGACAGUUGGAGUUUAAUGGACUGCAUUACCAAGGGGGCAGAUGGAAGAAUUGGCCACAUCAUCUGCCUCAGUGCCUCCUGGCUGAAGAGAACCUGAACCAUUAAAGGAGUUGGAGAAUAGACGAGAAAUGGUAGGCUCAUUAUGUAAAUUAGCAGUCUUUAAGUAGCUAUCUUUUGAGAUGC
rnacentral:lncRNA from 12 species